CAAAAUGUUCUCCUUUAUUGCUUUAUGUUCUUAAGCUGUACACACACACACACACACACACACACACACGCACACACCUCCUCCUCUACCAUACCACAUGGUCUUUUAUGUUUUAUUCAUUUAUCCCCACCUGACUCCUCACCAUGAUGCAUACUUCAGAGUUCAGCUUCUACAAAGACUGCUCCUCAUUUAAUGAUGGCCUCUGAGAUGCUGGACUCUGACAUUCAUUCAUGGACAUUCUAACAAUAACACUUCCCAUUCAGGUGGAACCUUUCUUGACAUUCUUUCUCUCUAGGUUUUUCCUCCAAUGGAAGUAGGUCAGCCCUACCUGCAGAGUGGAGAAACCUAACUGGACCACAGACAAGAUCCAGGAAGUGCAUGGAAAGGGAGCCUUCUCCAUAUGGAGAGAAGCAGUGAAGUCCUGAAGAAGGAAGCCGUAACAUUCCUUGAGUACUCACAAGGCGGCCUGACAUCUGGUCCACACUUGGGGAAAAGAGGCCACAUCCCCACAUGGAGAUCUAUUUUUGCAUUCUGAGCUGCGGAUGCUUUGCUCGUACAACUUGCCUUACACACAGAAAGGGGAAGGAAACUAAUAUUUACCAAGUGCUAGCUACAUGCCCUGUGCUGCUUUCACGUGCGUAUCUCUCCCACUACGCUGUGUAUCUGCAGACAGCUCACCAGGUAUGUCUCUGAAAAGCACAUGGAGGUGAACACUGAAUGCCUCCAACUUCCUCCACUCACCUGGCUGAGGGCCACACGCACAGCUGAUGCCCAACACAUCCAUAUAUUCAUGUAUGCUUCUUUACAAGGACUUCUCACCAUGGUCGAAGGAGAAAAUCUAUUCGUGAAAGACACAUUCUCUUGACCAUAUGCGUCUCCCUGUUGCACUGGGGCAGAUCAGCAUAGUGUGGGCACAAGGAGAAUGAAGCUUUGACUGAUAUGGACUGUGCCGUGGGUUUAGCACCAGCACCCUCAGGGACACAGCCACACUGUUUCCAAUCCUCCUCUACUAGGCUGUCUCUAAAUCUUCCUGGACUGAUGUGUUUAUCACUUCAUGGUGCUUCUCUUUUAAGACCGUUAUCAGAAGGAAC
rnacentral:lncRNA from 1 species